rnacentral:rRNA from 1 species
CCUACGGGUGGCAGCAGUGAGGAAUAUUGGUCAAUGGACGCGAGUCUGAACCAGCCAAGUAGCGUGAAGGAUGACUGCCCUAUGGGUUGUAAACUUCUUUUAUACGGGAAUAAACUGAUCCACGUGUGGCUUUUUGUAUGUACCAUAUGAAUAAGGAUCGGCUAACUCCGUGCCAGCAGCCGCGGUAAUACGGAGGAUCCUAGCGUUAUCCGGAUUUAUUGGGUUUAAAGGGAGCGUAGGUGGGUUGUUAAGUCAGUUGUGAAAGUUUGCGGCUCAACCGUGAAAUUGCAUUUGAUACUGGCAGGCUUGAGGACAGUUGAGGUAGGCGGAAUGCGUGGUGUAGCGGUGAAAUGCUUAGAUAUCACGAAGAACUCCGAUUGCGAAGGCAGCUUACUAAACUGCCACUGACAUUGAGGCUCGAAAGUGUGGGUAUCAAACAGGAUUAGAUACCCGGGUAGUC